GAUGAACGCUAGCGGCAGGCCUAAUACAUGCAAGUCGAACGAGAUUAAGAGGCUUGCUUCUUAUGAAAGUGGCGCACGGGUGCGUAACGCGUAUGCAACCUACCUUAAUCAGGGGGAUAGCCGAAGAAAUUCGGAUUAAGACCGCAUAAAAACACAGGAUAGCAUUAUCCAAUGUUCAAAUAUUUAUAGGAUUAAGAUGGGCAUGCGUGUCAUUAGCUAGUUGGCGGGGUAACGGCCCACCAAGGCGACGAUGACUAGGGGAUCUGAGAGGAUGACCCCCCACACUGGUACUGAGACACGGACCAGACUCCUACGGGAGGCAGCAGUAAGGAAUAUUGGUCAAUGGAGGGAACUCUGAACCAGCCAUGCCGCGUGCAGGAAGACAGCCCUCUGGGUCGUAAACUGCUUUUAUUCGGGAAUAAACCUUUCUACGUGUAGGAAGCUGAAUGUACCGAAGGAAUAAGGAUCGGCUAACUCCGUG
rnacentral:rRNA from 1 species